rnacentral:rRNA from 1 species
ACACAUGCAAGUCGAGGGGCAGCAUGAACUUAGCUUGCUAAGUUUGAUGGCGACCGGCGCACGGGUGAGUAACACGUAUCCAACCUGCCGAUGACUCGGGGAUAGCCUUUCGAAAGAAAGAUUAAUACCCGAUGGCAUAGUUCUUCCGCAUGGUAGAACUAUUAAAGAAUUUCGGUCAUCGAUGGGGAUGCGUUCCAUUAGGUUGUUGGCGGGGUAACGGCCCACCAAGCCUUCGAUGGAUAGGGGUUCUGAGAGGAAGGUCCCCCACAUUGGAACUGAGACACGGUCCAAACUCCUACGGGAGGCAGCAGUGAGGAAUAUUGGUCAAUGGACGAGAGUCUGAACCAGCCAAGUAGCGUGAAGGAUGACUGCCCUAUGGGUUGUAAACUUCUUUUAUACGGGAAUAAAGUGAGGCACGCGUGCCUUUUUGUAUGUACCGUAUGAAUAAGGAUCGGCUAACUCCGUGCCAGCAGCCGCGGUAAUACGGAGGAUCCGAGCGUUAUCCGGAUUUAUUGGGUUUAAAGGGAGCGUAGGCGGACGCUUAAGUCAGUUGUGAAAGUUUGCGGCUCAACCGUAAAAUUGCAGUUGAUACUGGGUGUCUUGAGUACAGUAGAGGCAGGCGGAAUUCGUGGUGUAGCGGUGAAAUGCUUAGAUAUCACGAAGAACUCCGAUUGCGAAGGCAGCCUGCUGGACUGUAACUGACGCUGAUGCUCGAAAGUGUGGGUAUCAAACAGGAUUAGAUACCCUGGUAGUCCACACAGUAAACGAUGAAUACUCGCUGUUUGCGAUAUACAGUAAGCGGCCAAGCGAAAGCGUUAAGUAUUCCACCUGGGGAGUACGCCGGCAACGGUGAAACUCAAAGGAAUUGACGGGG